UACGAAGGUGGCAAGCGUUGUUCGGAUUUACUGGGCGUACAGGGAGCGUAGGCGGUUGGAUAAGCCCUCCGUGAAAUCUCCAGGCUUAACCUGGAAAGUGCAGAGGGGACUGUUCAGCUAGAGGAUUGGAGAGGCAAGGGGAAUUCCACGUGUAGCGGUGAAAUGCGUAGAGAUGUGGAGGAACACCUGUGGCGAAGGCGCCUUGCUGGCCAAUUACUGACGCUGAGGCGCGAAAGCGUGGGGAGCAAACAGG
rnacentral:rRNA from 1 species